GAGCAUGUGGUGAGUAAUGCCUAGGAAUCUGCCUGGUAGUGGGGGAUAACGUCCGGAAACGGGCGCUAAUACCGCAUACGUCCUGAGGGAGAAAGUGGGGGAUCUUCGGACCUCACGCUAUCAGAUGAGCCUAGGUCGGAUUAGCUAGUUGGUGGGGUAAAGGCCUACCAAGGCGACGAUCCGUAACUGGUCUGAGAGGAUGAUCAGUCACACUGGAACUGAGACACGGUCCAGACUCCUACGGGAGGCAGCAGUGGGGAAUAUUGGACAAUGGGCGAAAGCCUGAUCCAGCCAUGCCGCGUGUGUGAAGAAGGUCUUCGGAUUGUAAAGCACUUUAAGUUGGGAGGAAGGGCAGUAAGUUAAUACCUUGCUGUUUUGACGUUACCAACAGAAUAAGCACCGGCUAACUUCGUGCCAGCAGCCGCGGUAAUACGAAGGGUGCAAGCGUUAAUCGGAAUUACUGGGCGUAAAGCGCGCGUAGGUGGUUCAGCAAGUUGGAUGUGAAAUCCCCGGGCUCAACCUGGGAACUGCAUCCAAAACUACUGAGCUAGAGUACGGUAGAGGGUGGUGGAAUUUCCUGUGUAGCGGUGAAAUGCGUAGAUAUAGGAAGGAACACCAGUGGCGAAGGCGACCACCUGGACUGAUACUGACACUGAGGUGCGAAAGCGUGGGGAGCAAACAGGAUUAGAUACCCUGGUAGUCCACGCCGUAAACGAUGUCGACUAGCCGUUGGGAUCCUUGAGAUCUUAGUGGCGCAGCUAACGGAUAAGUCGACCGCCUGGGGAGUACGGCCGCAAGGUUAAAACUCAAAUGAAUUGACGGGGGCCCGCACAAGCGGUGGGCGGACGGGUUUAAUUCGAAGCAACGCGAAGAACCUUACCUGGCCUUGACAUGCUGAGAACUUUCCAGAGAUGGAUUGGUGCCUUCGGGAACUCAGACACAGGUGCUGCAUGGCUGUCGUCAGCUCGUGUCGUGAGUUGUUGGGUUAAGUCCCGUAACGAGCGCAACCCUUGUCCUUAGUUACCAGCACCUCGGGUGGGCACUCUAAGGAGACUGCCGGUGACAAACCGGAGGAAGGUGGGGAUGACGUCAAGUCAUCAUGGCCCUUACGGCCAGGGCUACACACGUGCUACAAUGGUCGGUACAAAGGGUUGCCAAGCCGCGAGGUGGAGCUAAUCCCAUAAAACCGAUCGUAGUCCGGAUCGCAGUCUGCAACUCGACUGCGUGAAGUCGGUAAUCGUGAAUCAGAA
rnacentral:rRNA from 1 species